UACGGGGGGAGCAAGCGUUGUUCGGAUUUACUGGGCGUAAAGGGCGCGUAGGCGGCCAGCACAAGUCAGUUGUGAAAUCUCCGAGCUUAACUUGGAAACUGCCGUGGAUACUAUUAGUCUUGAAUCUCGUGGAGGUAAGCGGAAUAUGUCAUGUAGCGGUGAAAUGCUUAGAUAUGACAUAGAACACCGAUAGCGAAGGCAGCUUGCUACGCGAGUAUUGACACUGAGGCACGAAAGCGUGGGGAUCAAACAGG
rnacentral:rRNA from 1 species